AGGAAGUGUAGUUUAUCGUUAGAAUGCUGCUUUUGUAAAGCAGCGGUGUGAUUUUGUGACUUCUUU
rnacentral:tRNA from 1 species